CUUCACGCUGACCGCUUUGGCCCUGAUCACUGCAAAACACAUGGACCCAGAGAGACGAGGUCUCACUCUUGCUUCGGCUGGUCUCCAACUCCUGAGCUCAAGCAGUCUGCCUGCCUCGGCCUCCCUGGGUGCUGGGAUCACAGGUGUGAGCUAUCGCCUCCAGUCCUACGGCUGAUUCUCAACAGUAACACAGAUCCUACUGAGAGGCAGGGAGGCCCAGUAGGUGGAUACUGUACCUACGUCCAGCCCCGCAGGACCCAGAAAUACUUCCAGGGUCCCAGCCGGCACCAGAGCCCUGCACCACAGCCUGCUGCCCCACCUGUGCCCACACCCCACUUUUACUUCUGUUGGAGCUGAGUCACAACUUGCAGAGGCCACAGCUUCCUGUUUCCAGGGUAAGCCAGACCUUACCCCAAAAGGCCACAUUUAGGAAAUACUGCCUGGUGUCCCUGGGCCACCAGAAACCUUCCUCUCAUUCAUCCACUACCACCAGUUGUCCCUUCCAGCUUCAACCUCCCUCCUUGGCUGCCCACUGCCUUUGUCUACAACACCAGACCCUUGCAACCUGACACCAUCUUGUCCCCUUGGCGGCUGCAACCCAACAACUCCAAGCUCUCUUCUUUUGGGUCCACUGGUCCACGAAACCUCCCCACUCAGAAUGUGCCCAGGUACAUCCAUGCUUCUGAACAGCCAAGUUUCUUCUGCCCCAAAUGCCAUCCCCCCUUUCUACCUGGAGAACUUCUACUCAUUCCUUAACUAAAAUAACCCCUUUCCGUCUUUCGCUGGGAAAUCCUGUCUUCCAGCAGCACUUGUUAUAUCCUCCGCCUCUCAUCCACCCUGCUGUCAACACCUGCACGCCUGUCUGCGCAGGGCCCUGGGAGGCUCUGACUGCGGCACGGUCGUGCUCACUAAAUGUCUGCCAGACACGGCUGAGCUGGACCUGCUGACACGGGGCUGGGGGCCCAGGUGAGGUCUGUCUCCGGUCCCUCUUCCUACCUGCCUAAUCUUUACACCUUAUCGCGAUACAGCACAAAAAAAUAUUUAUAUAAAUCAGCAAACACACACAAUUAACUUCGUCUUUAGUUUGCUCUUCACGUAGUUUCAAAGUCAUCAGCUCAAAAGCAAACCAGCAAAAUCAGAAGGAAACGAUGGUUCCAGGAUGAGCAAGGAGCUGGAGCUUAGCACAGUCUAUGAAUUCUACAUGUGUUUUGGAACUUCUGGAACCUCUUUUCAGUGGUCCCCUGCAUUGCACCACUGAGGCCCUUCCAGCUUCGACAGCCUGGAAGCACCUGAUCCAGGCAAGAAGACAGACGAGCCACUGAGGCCUGGCUUACCGUCCACAACAGGAGUCCAAUCCACAUGCCACAGGUGCUCAGGAAAUUUACUCUGCAAGCCAAAGGUGAUACUCCAUUCCAUGUGUUAAUGUCCACGCACUGCCCUCUUAUAAAACCUGCUAAGGAUCCAGAGCAGAGUCUGGGCCCUUGUUUCAAAGUGGCAGUAUCAGGGACAGACUUUGUGUCAGCUAUGCGGGCUGUGUGGUCUCAGAGGCCACAGAUGCUCAGAGAGUCUACAGUGGAGAUAACGACCAGAGGGCCUGCACCCCUAACGGUGCGGCGAGGACUAGAGAGGCCAGAUGCCUGGACACGGCACCUGGCAGCAAACGCUUAUCCAGGUCAGGACCCGGAACACGGACAGCAUUGCAGAGGGGAACAGGGCACCCACUCCCAGCCCUGGGAAGGGUCAGGUCUGGGAGACGGCGUCACGAGGCUUAGGUACAGGGAUACUGUCCUGCUCAUGACACCAUAUAGACACCUGGAAUCUGGCUUUCAUGCUGCUUCCCAAUGACCCUGCUCUGCUUCGGAGCUGUGGAACACACCCUCUUCUUUCAAAUUGUCAGAAGAGGCUGCUGGAAUCAAGGAUCCAAGGCAGAUUCGUGGGGUAAAACUAGAAAGUUAAGGCUGAGGUAGACAGAUGCUCACAGGGAAGGAGUGAGGGCCAGAGACUUUGACUCACUAUCUCCAACCCAGCUGCCUCAGCCUGUCCACAGGGAACCAGAAUUCAUACGCUUCAGGUGGGAACCUCCCCUGCCCCACUUUGCAAAAUGAAAGAUUGUAUGAAGGGCGGCGCCUGUGGCUCAAAGGGAUAGGGCGCCAGUCCCAUAUGCUGGAGGUGGUGGGUUCAAAUCCAGCCUUGGCCAAAAACCACAAAAAAAAAAAAAGAAAGAAAGAAAGAUUGUGUGAAGUAAAGGGGAAUUGGGAGAGGUAGAGGAGGACCCAAAUUGCACGGAAACCUUCCCCAAACCACUAAUACCCCCAGAGAUGAGCCCCUGAGGCCUGCUGCCAGCUGUGGCUGGCACACACCUGUGGGCACAGUGGGGUCUGGGCAGCAGCGGGUAGAGAAAGGGUAGAGGGUGGAUUUAGCAUGCAGAAGGCUCCAGUGAGAAGCCUUGCCUUGGAGAAGCACUUGAUCCAGGCAAGAAGACGGAUGACAGACAGGAAAAUAGUAGUUGCUUCCACCUGCCACCAGUGGGCAGGAAGGAGGCAGGGGAGCUCUCCAGAAGAUAGUUCCACGCCCAUGGCCUUGGUCAUCACUGUGAGGGCCCCGAGGGACCACCAGGAUCGGAGGGGAAAGAAGGCCACUCACAGGAAGGAGGGCCCCUCAGGGUCCCAGGCCAUUUAAGCAUAGGACAAGCAAAGAGACACAAAGGAUUCAGGAAGAAAUUAAAAUGGAAGACUUACUAAAUGCCUACUAUGCGGGGUCGGUGCUGGGCGCUGAGCAGGGGUCAGCGCAUGUCCUGUCUGCGCCCCCGGGGCAGUGGGCUGCUCUUCCCCACGGCCCCCUACCCAGGAGCCAGAGGCAGCGGUGGGAGGGAGGGCUUUAUACAGAUGCUUGUUCUAACUGCUGUGCCCCAAACCAUGGCCUCUCCCCACGCGGCUCAGAUUUCAUCUUCUCUUCUUUCCCUUCUGCUGUUAACACAACAUCUGGGUUUGAGAUCAAGGGUGACACACUGGCUGAUGAAUUCACUGCCAGAUGCUGGCUACUGGAAUGUACAACCGUCGGCUGAAUUCAAAGCACACGCAACCACAGAGCCCCCACCCCCGCUCCUCCAGCCGAGGACACCACAUGAUGUCACUUCCCCCCAGGAGGAGCCUGCAAAACCGAUCCCUCAGACACCCAGCCAGGCUGGGGAUAUGGAAAAGAAGUGAGUGGGUGGGAAACCAAGGUCACGGAACAUGAUCCCAGAAGGACCAGCGAUGCUCAGACUGGGAGAAUCACAACCACCCAGGGUAAACCAGCCACACGGUCCCUAAGCAAGGGGCUUGCUGGAAAGCUCAACAGAUCCCAGCUGUGCCAACCCCGGCUGAGAUGCCAGGCCCUGGAGGCACCGUUCUCUCCUCUCCUGUUCUCCUGCCUUUUCAUCCCCUGCAGCCACCGCAACAUGGCUCUGUGUCCUGAAGUCCCUGUCACACACCCCACCGUCACAUUUUGAAUCCUACCUGUCCAAAGAAUCACCAUGGAAGUUCCUGGGAAAAAUAAGACCAAGCCCAUACUCCACUGGGGGUGGGAGGAGUCAGACUCCCAAAAGGAAAACUGUCCCUGGGAGUUCGCUAGCUCAAGCUCAUUGAAUUCUCUUUAUGAUCUUCAGCCCAGCUGCUCUCCGGAGGAAUCCCAUGAGCCCCAUGCACAGAAACAUCCUGCAGGGCCGUCCCCCUCUGCGCCGCUCUGCUGGGGCACUGGAUCCCCACCCAGGGGUCCAAGUAGACCUGUGAUCUGACCUACAGAUGUCCCCGGCCCUGACACGGCAUUCCACACGCCCAGGUCCCUGCAGAGGCCGAGCUUCUGGCUGAGGGAUGAACUCAGGAGGCAGGAGGGAAAAGGUGGCCCACGGUCCCUCAGAGCCACCCAUCUGGCCAGCAGAGACGCAGACAUU